CGGAUAGAGAGAGCUGCAGAUUUUGGAGUAAAACCAAUAAUACUCCGGUGGCUAUAUCUCUGUAAUAAACCGUUGGAUCAUGCUAAGUUUUGGAUAUGUUGUUCGUAUUACACUUAUCUACUAACUGACCAGAGGGAUUGGAAGGAACACAAUCCAUUUGACAUCAAUCAUCAUCGGCAAUUUCCUGAAAAACAAAAAGGAAAUGCACCUGCAGGGCAAUUUCUUCGCCGGCCGAUUGCACUCUCUUCCACCGUUGGAUCAUGCUCAUUCUUGGUUAUGUGGUGCACCUAGAUGUUGCCUUCAUUCCGAACGGUGGAGAUCGGAAACUCAUUCUCCGACAAGGUUUCGUGCAUGUUGAAAAGUAGCUCGUCCAUUUUCAGGGGAAGCUGUGGGGAUUGGACAAUUGCAUGGAGUGGCAGCACGUGCACCUAUUCUAGGUUCAUCAGGGUCGCGUCAAGGGUAAUACUAGUUUAGUUAUCUUUUGCUUUUAACCAUGUAAAUUAAUUGUAAAUUAAAAGACUUAUCUCCUAAAACUUGAGAUGUAAUAUU